AGCAGUGUGCCUGAUAAAAGGGCUACGUUGAUGUCGUAGAGUAUGCAGGAGAAGCCCUGUGGCUGUUA
rnacentral:tRNA from 1 species